rnacentral:lncRNA from 1 species
GAAAGUCCCCUCCUUCCUUCCCUUCCUGGUAAUUAUGCAGAGACAUACAUGAAUACUUAUUAUUGUUUGGGGCUUAAAGACAUACUUUGCCUUUUCUGCAUUUCUACUGAAAUAGUAAUUCUUUCAGGGUGAAGCUUCACAUAUGAAGUCUCAAUUCCAGCUGCCACAUCAUUGUGUAUAAAGGCAUCACUCCCUGUGUCCCUGUGGGAAUUUCUUUCCAAUCCCCAAAUUGCUGAGACAAGCACCCUUUCACACUCCAAGGAACUAUGAAUUCUCACUCCAUUUUUUGACACAUGGAGACUUCUCUUUCUUUUUGCAGUCACAAUAAUAAUCUAAAAAGAAAAUUCAUCUGGAAAUCAGAAAACCUGGUUUGCAGAGCUGGGACUGAAGCUUAACCGCACUGAUCAAUGACGUUUUAUCUAAAAUAUACAAGAUAUGCACAUUUAAGACAGUCCGUCUAUUGGAGGGAAAAAAAUUACCGAAACAUGAAAACCAUGAACCAAAACACGCACAUACCUGCAAAUGGAAUUGAUGAAGACACUGGAACAAUGCUCCAUCCCAAUUCAGAGGAACCAUCUAUUGGUUACAUAGCUCUAGACGUAUAUAGAAUUAAAAAAUAAAAUACUGGCACCGAUAUUCUUUGUAGCAUGUGAGAAGUCUAUAUAAUUUUUGGAGUGUUGUGUUUCCAUUUCAAUGAAAUUAAAAAAUAAUUCCCUUCAUUCUUACCUUAGACCACAUUACAAUAAAUACUUCCAAGAGAGUUUAGUGUUCA